UAAAAAUAUUUGGAUUAUUAUUUCACAUAUAUAAUUUAUUUUGGGUGAAAUGCUUAAAAAUUUAAUAUUUAUGGAAUAUUGUGCAGGACCACCUAUAGAGUCAAUUAAAAUUUAUAUUUCUAGUUAUUUUUCCUUGCAAUUUAUGCACAACUGUUUCCUCCUCAGUCAUCUCUAAAUUCUGACAGAAGAAACUGUGACCCAGUCUGUCUCCUUUCCACAGCCCUGCCUAAGGCCACUCUGAUCGUGAAGCCAAAAUGGCGCCCACUGUACAAUGGAGAGACCGUCACACUGAGCUGUGAGGUGGACUCCUACAGCAACUGGACACAUUUCUGGUACAGAGACCAUAACCAGACAGCCACAUCUCUCUCUAAAGAGUACAGUGUAAACAUCACUGGGGCUGCUGGGUCUGACCAGGGGCAGUACUGGUGUGAGGGGAGGCUGGAGGGGAGAAAUGUGACAUCACAGCGCAGCGACUCCAUCACUCUGACUGUUGCAGGGUCGCCUAAUGAAGCAGCUGUCAAAUUCACUGAAGAGAAUGUGGAAGCUGACUAAUAAAACCUUCACACAGAAGCUGGAUCAGUGUGCUCAUGUCAAAUGAAGAACAUUUGAGAGCUCAGGAUUAUUUUUCAAUGUGAUGCUUCUCAGCUUGCAGGAGGGGAAAUCCUGAUUGGGGGUGCAGUUAUGGGGACACUCAGUGAGUUUUGGGGAUGAAGCAGUCGUGCCUUUAGGGUGCAGGAUCUGAAUAAUAUAUCUGAGGUUCUGAUUCACCAGAGCUGCACUUGUGAUCUUUGUCUAAGUUAGUCAGCUUUGAUUGCUGUAUGUUUGUUUCAGGUCCUACAUUGAACUUUAUAUAUUAUGUAGUAAACUCGCCGCAAGCUUACAUACAGCCUAAACAGCUGAGACUCUGCAACAUACUCAAUAUGCAUUUCAUGUGUCUGCUUUUAUUAGUAUUACAUUAAAUGGAAUUUAAAGUGUGUUCUUUUUCUUCCUUCUUUAUUUUGUUAACAUAAGAAAUAAAUGAAAAUAAUAAACGUGUAAUGUAACAUCCCCAGCAGGUCAGUUAUAGCAUCUUCCACUGUGGUGAACAACACAAUCUAAUCCAAGUGUGAGAAGGAGAAACUGAGCAGGAAUGGUGAGCUGAAUGUGGAGAGAGAAGCUGAUUGUUUUUUUAAAUAUUAUUUUUAUAUAAUAAUACUUCUACUGUAAUAACAAUGUUACCAGUCAUAACUUUCUUGUGUUCAUUCUUUGUGGUGAUGAAUCGUGACAAAUCAAUAUUAAUAAAUAUGUAGGCUAAAGCU